rnacentral:tRNA from 1 species
UGAGCCAGUUCGUCGGGGUUCGAGCCCCUGUACUCCAUCUUAUAAGAGUCCUCCGUUGCGCCAAAUUGGAAAGG